AUACUUAAGUAGUAUUAGAUAUACGCUUGAAACUUAAAGAAUUUGGCGGUAUUUUAAUCUUUUCAGAGGAACUUGUUCUAUAAUCGAUAUUCCCCGUUUAAUUUUACUAAAUAAUUUGUAUACCGUUGUCAAAAGAAUAAAUUUUCUAACAUUUUAAUUAAAAUUUAUGUCAAAUCAAGGUGCAGUUUAUAGUUUAGUAGAAAUGAGUUACAAUAAAUUUAUUUAGGAAUUUAAUGAAGGUGGAUUUGAAAGUAAAUUAAUUUUAAUAAAUUUAAUUGAUGAUAGUUCUAAAAUAUGU
rnacentral:rRNA from 1 species